UACGUAGGGGGCAAGCGUUGUCCGGAUUUAUUGGGCGUAAAGAGCGUGUAGGCGGUUAGGUAGGUCCGUUGUGAAAACUCGAGGCUCAACCUCGAGACGCCGAUGGAAACCAUCUGACUAGAGUCCGGAAGAGGAGAGUGGAAUUCCUGGUGUAGCGGUGAAAUGCGCAGAUAUCAGGAAGAACACCCGUGGCGAAGGCGGCUCUCUGGGACGGUACUGACGCUGAGACGCGAAAGCGUUGGGAGCGAACAGG
rnacentral:rRNA from 1 species